GAUGAACGCUGGCGGCGUGCCUAAUACAUGCAAGUCGAGCGAACGGACGAGAAGCUUGCUUCUCUGAUGUUAGCGGCGGACGGGUGAGUAACACGUGGAUAACCUACCUAUAAGACUGGGAUAACUUCGGGAAACCGGAGCUAAUACCGGAUAAUAUUUUGAACCGCAUGGUUCAAAAGUGAAAGACGGUCUUGCUGUCACUUAUAGAUGGAUCCUCGCUGCAUUAGCUAGUUGGUAAGGUAACGGCUUACCAAGGCAACGAUGCAUAGCCGACCUGAGAGGGUGAUCGGCCACACUGGAACUGAGACACGGUCCAGACUCCUACGGGAGGCAGCAGUAGGGAAUCUUCCGCAAUGGGCGAAAGCCUGACGGAGCAACGCCGCGUUAGUGAUGAAGGUCUUCGGAUCGUAAAACUCUGUUAUUAGGGAAGAACAUAUGUGUAAGUAACUGUGCACAUCUUGACGGUACCUAAUCAGAAAGCCACGGCUAACUACGUG
rnacentral:rRNA from 1 species